GCUCCUUUAGUUCAGUGGUAGAACGCGUGACUCGUAACUAGCCAGCGCCUGGAAACAGGCUAGGUGGAUAAAACAACGUGGCAAUCAACUCUCUGGUUACCAGUAGAGCCAAUCACGAGGUCCUCGGUUCAAUCCCGAGAGGGAGCU